AGGAGGCAGGAUUAGAUUGCAGCUCUGACUCAGAGCAGCGUGCGGAGGCUCGCAUUGUGAAUUUUAGCUCCAGAUAAACUUCAAGAACAAACCAGCAAUCCUGAGAGGACCCACAGACCCUCUGAAAAAAGCGGACUGUUCCUGCAACACCCAGGAGACACCCCAAAUACUGUGAGUGACCCAACUGCGGAAGCGGGAAAGGGAGAUCCUCCUCUCCUGAACACACACCCCCACUGGAGAAACUGAAGAUGAAGAAUCUGAGGCACAAAGAGGUCAACUGGCUUGCCCAAGGGUACUUGGCAGAAGGUGAGCUCUGAUAUAGUGCUUUAGUGCACGGACUCAGAAAGUGGAUGAGCUAAGACAUUCAUGAAGCUGUGUAAGAGAGAAAGGCUCAUCACCUUUGCAGAUGACACAAGCCUUUUAUGCGGGAAUCAAAGAAGAACAUGAGAGGCCAGAACACCGGAUUGAAACCAGCAAUUUGACCUUUAAAAGGUUUCCUGAGUUUCUUCUUUCUCAUCUGGAAAUUGGAUAUGCUGCAUCAGUUUCACUGGCUGUUGUGAAUGACCUGGUCUAUUGUCAACAAAGCCCUCAGAAGUCAGGCAGGAUUGUCUCUCAUGACCUAGAUCAAG
rnacentral:lncRNA from 10 species